rnacentral:lncRNA from 1 species
GAGGUAAAGCCCCAACCCCCAGGACCUCACCUGCUUGGUGUUAAGAUGAAUUUUCGCCCAAGGGCAAACACUUCCUCUGGCCAUUCAAAUUUCCUUGGUUUGCAUUCCCCAACUACUUAAUCCCUGUAGCUCUAACUUUUUUUAGCCAGAAAAAGUCUUGUGCUGCUAUAAGAGAACAAAUAUAUUGACUUUUUUUUUUUUAAGCAGGCAUAGCCCUUGAGGGUAGUGCAGUACCCAUCUCAAUCCAUUUGGAAUCCAUUGUUAACAAGGCACUCAAAAAUCCAAUGUCUCUCCCGAAGAUUUCUCUUGCUAAUCUUGGAGGAAGAGGCAGUCUUAUGAUCUCAUUCCAAGCCUAGAGAAGAAUGAGCCCUGGCCUGAAGUUAGGGAGACUGCUUGGCUCUGAACUGAAAACAUUAGCCACUCACAGACCUGCGUAAGAAUUGGGCCUUUAUGUAAUAGCUGGAAAAAUACAGACUUUUGCCAG